GCCAGGUGUGGUGGUGCACAUCUGUAGUCCCAGCUCCUUGGGAGGCUGAGGCAGGAGGAUUGCUUGAGCCCAGGAGUUCAAGGCUGCAGUGAACUAUGAUUGCACCACUGCACUCCAGCCUGGGUGACAGAGCAAGACCCUAUCUCUA
ensembl:misc_RNA Metazoa_SRP Metazoan signal recognition particle RNA